rnacentral:rRNA from 1 species
UACGGAGGGUGCAAACGUUGCUCGGAAUCAUUGGGCGUAAAGCGCACGUAGGCGGCCUGUUAAGUCGGGUGUGAAAGCCCUGGGCUCAACCCAGGAAGUGCACUCGAAACUGGCGGGCUUGAGUAUGGAAGAGGGUCGCGGAAUUCCCGGUGUAGAGGUGAAAUUCGUAGAUAUUGGGAAGAACACCGGUGGCGAAGGCGGCGACCUGGUCCUUGACUGACGCUGAGGCGCGAAAGCGUGGGGAGCAAACAGG